ensembl:lncRNA
AACAAACAAACAAACACACAUCCGCACCGUUUGUGUGCUUAAAGUAUCGAUACAAUCGAUUAUGUAGCAUUUCAAUCGAUUUGUAAUUGAUUCUUGUCGUCCGAAGUGCCGAUUUGCGCAGCACAGAUCGAUUCAGUUGGCUCGCGAGAAUAUAAAUCGAUUAAUCGAUACACCCCUAGUAUCCGGCAAUUCUAAGUAACUGUGCAGCGAGAGACAAUUGUUUCAUACUAACUAUGCGGAGACUGCAAGGGCAAAUAGAUAACGGGAACACAUCCUGUGAAUGAGGCAUUAAGCAGACGGACAAGUAUAAUUCCAAAGAUGUGACAGAGACGGGGGCCAAAAAGGGACUUACAAAGAAAGCUGCACCGAUGGUUUGUUCUACAAGGAGAGCGUGUCUGCCAACUCCUGCAUGAAGGCACAGUGGUAAGUAGGCUUUCAAUCCAGUAAAAAGCUAUAAGGCCCCGUAAAAGAGACGAUAGCAGCCAAAGAUGGCGACUCGAUGCAUUCAUCAAACCUUUAUAAUCAGUCAGGCAUAAAGAGAGACGGUAAUGGGGAUAACGGGGAAAAAUGGCUCUUUUCCUCAAUGUGCCGGUGUGAACAUUUCGUUAGUUUUACCUGCUUUCGGGACGAGUUGGACGGAGCUUCGCACCACUAGAGUUUCAACAAGGUCGAAGGCUGGAAUAAAGCAUUUUUCAUACCAAAAUAUUUAAGGCGCUUGCCAGCCCGUUUGGCGACUCCAUCGCUUCGGCUGGACUCCUGCCGCGGGGAACACAAAGGGGCUCGCGAUCGCUUCGAGCGCCUUAAGCCUCACGUGUUCAUCGGCGGCGUCGAGUCGUACGCGCAGUAACGUGAGACAGAGACGACCGCCGGGAGGUCGAGCAGGGAUCCAACAUGAAGCCAAUUGGACAUUAAACAAUGUUAAAUCAGAGUGAGAACAACACAUGAAAUCUUUCCUUUAUUUAUUUUAAAGCGCUUUGAGGGGGGGGAUCUCUUGUGAGAGUUUAUGUUGUAUAAUCAGUACAAACAAUUGGCUUAUAAAAGGUUCUAACAAGUUGUUUUCAUAUUUUUGAUCCCUAUGUAUGAAACAUCUAAUCACUGCGGAUGCUGACAGAUCGAGAAAUAAUGAUACCAAACACCUUAGAUGUGUAGUAAGGUAAUAGAACAUUUAUUACCACCAGAAGAAACUCGAGACUCAAUUUGAAGAAAAGUGCCUGUGAGCAUCUGUGAAAUCACAAGCGAUAAGAAGGUAACCCGAUGAUAGGCGACAGGGAUAUGGAUGAUUAAAUAACCAAUAAUCAAUAUCGGUGUUUCACAACAACUCUGGAAUGAUGAAUAGAACCUUAAAUAGGAGAUGAAAGCGUCCUUCUUCAUUUGAGUGUCCAGACCAGCUGACUCACAGCCUGACGUGAAUCACUGUGAGGAGUGUGUUGACUCGCUGCUGCUCGCCGCUUCUGCACUUUUUCUAUUUUCCUUCAUUGUCGUCCUGCCGAACAAUGUUUGUGGGUUUGGCGGAUAAACAAUACGGAAUAAAACCGUCCAAAACCUG